GUUUGGAAGAGACGCAUCUUUUGUCUUCUUACACAUUAUAAAAAAGUUCCGGGUUUCAAGGAUUCCGGCUAACGGAGAAGGCUGCUGUUCCUACCAGAAAUCAGUUUCAAAUGCGAGUAUGUGACAGACUUUGAGGCAAGAGGAUGUCUUUUAAAUGCUUUUAACACCCUUAUUUACUUGAAUAAUGAA
rnacentral:lncRNA from 1 species